rnacentral:rRNA from 1 species
UACGGGAGGCAGCAGUGGGGAAUAUUGCACAAUGGGCGCAAGCCUGAUGCAGCCAUGCCGCGUGUAUGAAGAAGGCCUUCGGGUUGUAAAGUACUUUCAGUCGUGAGGAAGGUGUUAAGGUUAAUAACCUUAGCAAUUGACGUUAGCGACAGAAGAAGCACCGGCUAACUCCGUGCCAGCAGCCGCGGUAAUACGGAGGGUGCGAGCGUUAAUCGGAAUUACUGGGCGUAAAGGGCACGCAGGCGGUUAAUUAAGUUGGAUGUGAAAUCCCCGGGCUUAACCUGGGAAUGGCAUUCAAGACUGGUUAGCUAGAGUCUUGUAGAGGGGGUAGAAUUCCAUGUGUAGCGGUGAAAUGCGUAGAGAUGUGGAGGAAUACCGGUGGCGAAGGCGGCCCCUGGACAAAGGCUGACGCUCAUGUGCGAAAGCGUGGGGAGCAAACAGGGAUUAGAU